GGUGAGAUGGCCGAGUUGGUUAUGGCGUCAGGUUAAGGUUACCUUAACACCUACUUCCUGGUGGAGCAAUCCUCCUGGGUUCGAAUCCCAGUCUCAUCA